rnacentral:rRNA from 1 species
AUUGAACGCUGGCGGCAGGCCUAACACAUGCAAGUCGAGCGGAUGAGAAGAGCUUGCUCUUCGAUUCAGCGGCGGACGGGUGAGUAAUGCCUAGGAAUCUGCCUGGUAGUGGGGGACAACGUUUCGAAAGGAGCGCUAAUACCGCAUACGUCCUACGGGAGAAAGCAGGGGACCUUCGGGCCUUGCGCUAUCAGAUGAGCCUAGGUCGGAUUAGCUAGUUGGUGAGGUAAUGGCGCACCAAGGCGACGAUCCGUAACUGGUCUGAGAGGAUGAUCAGUCACACUGGAACUGAGACACGGUCCAGACUCCUACGGGAGGCAGCAGUGGGGAAUAUUGGACAAUGGGCGAAAGCCUGAUCCAGCCAUGCCGCGUGUGUGAAGAAGGUCUUCGGAUUGUAAAGCACUUUAAGUUGGGAGGAAGGGCAGUAAGUUAAUACCUUGCUGUUUUGACGUUACCGACAGAAUAAGCACCGGCUAACUCUGUGCCAGCCGCCGCGGUAAUAC